GUGCAUCAGUUCAGUUCCAUAACAAACAAGUGUGUCGACAACACGGAAGUUAACAAGACCACAACAAGCGACCUUUAUUAUUAUCGGUUUAUUUUCUUUACAUUCUGUAUAACAGGCGUUUUUAAAGCGUGUCCAGAAUGGUAUGACUUCUGAUAAAAGCUGGUGCCUACGUGGCGCGGAAGAUCGCUUCCGCUGUCCGUGGUACCGAACAAAACGCUCAGCCUGUGCGCACGCUAUGAAACCGGGCACAAGAUAAUAAGCAACAGAGUCAGAAGUGGUUAACAGCAGAGGGGACGUCAUCUCCAGAUGAUGGUGCAGUGUGUGUGCCUACCACAGACACUGCAGUGCAGAAACAUGGCUCCUGAGGUUAAAGGUCACGCUGGUUCUGGGUGCUAGAGAAUAAAGCAACAUUCCUUGUGUAACAAAACAACAUUGUCCUCAACUUAUGCAGACUCAGUUUCAAGUUGCAUAUUUGCACUAAGAGUGCUAACCAUUUAUUUAUAAUGGGAAUCUACAAGUCCUACUUGGGUCUAUAGAAAAAGGAGAAAAAAAACAGUGCUAGUAUCAAAUUCAUGCAAAUGUAUGUUAUAUUCUACAAGUGUCUGACCAGAAUGAUCAAGGUCUGGGAAUUUCCAAAUUAUAUCUAAAGUGUGUCCAAUAAAAUACAAACAUUUUACAUUUCACUUAUUAAAAAUUCCUUAAUUGGAUUUAAAAAAAAGUUAAAAUGUGGUCAAACCUUUUAAUUAUUGGGCUGAUACAUUAUUACUUAAUACUGAUAUAUAUUUCUUUUGAACACAUUCAUGGGGAAAAACAAACUUUAUCAACCCGGAUUGCCUUGCGUGACUGAUGGAUGCUGUCAGUGCCUGCCUCUCUCUCUCUCUCUCUCUCUCUCUCUCUCUCUCUCUCUCUCUCUCUCUCUCUCUCUCUCUCUCUCUCUCUCUCUCUCUCUCUCUCUCUCUCUCUCAGCUGUAGAGUGUGAAGGUCUGUUCAUCAACCUCUGACUCAGAGACAGUUCAGAUCUGAAAUUUUCCUAUAGCUGUAAUAUUUAUAUUGAAUAUCUUCUUGAUAAACAUUGCUGUUGUAUGUAUACACAUUUCUUAGCAUUUACAGUAAAACCUGUUAAAAACAGUAGGGAUGGAAUUGUCUAUUGCAUCAAAUAUUCAUAUAUUGGGUGAAAAAAUAAAUUUGUUUCAAAUCAAA